AUUGAACGCUGGCGGCAGGCCUAACACAUGCAAGUCGAGCGAGCGGCGGACGGGUGAGUAAUGUCUGGGAAACUGCCUGAUGGAGGGGGGUAACCACUUGAAACGGUAGCUAAUACCGCAUUCCAUCCGAUGUGCCCAGAUGGGAUGAGCUAGUAGGUGGGGUAAUGGCUCACCUAGGCGACGAUCCCUAGCUGGUCUGAGAGGAUGACCAGCCACCCUGGAACUGAGACAGGGGCCAGACUCCGACGGGGGGCAGCAGUGGGGAACAUUGCACAAGGGGCGGAAGGCUGAUGCGGCCAUGCCGCGUGUGUGAAGAAGGCCUUCGGGUUGUAAAGCACUUUCAGCGGGGAGGCGUUACCCGCAGAAGAAGCACCGGCUAACUCCGUGCCAGCAGCCGCGGUAAUAC
rnacentral:rRNA from 1 species